UUCAUUUCUUCAACUUUAAGCUUCCAAAAUGAGAUUUUCCAUUUAAAUUAACUAUGAUCUUCCUGAAUCUGAAUUCCGACCAUAUGCACAAUUCAAUAUACCUGGAAUGAAGCUUCUCAUAGCCUCAGACUGAUGAAUGACACGCAGGAGCUCAAAACGAUCGAUAGGCUCGUUACAUGGAUCACAUCAAUGCAGUACCAAUAAAUCACUCAUCAAAAGAGGGGUCGCACGUGAUAUUAGCGCACCGGUCAUCAUAUCCAUAUUCUACCCUUCCCACCCUAUUAAGUUAUUAAAUUGGAUUAAAUCUCGAUUACUUUCUCCAAGCUAGUAACCAUCCCAGCCUAUCAGUAGUGGUAUAUUAGGACCUCUAAUCCUAAAAGGGAAGAAGGGAUGAGGGCUUUUGUUGAGUUUAAAGGAUAAAAUUUAAUUUCGUCAUACAAAACAAGUACCAAAUAAAGGGAAAACAAAACAGGUAAACAAGGCUUAAAUAAACCCGUUAAAUCAGACAAACAUAUAGUUUAGCCUGUCUUGGCACAUACUGUUUUGGUCUUAAAUGAAAAUUAAGUGGUGAGCGG
rnacentral:lncRNA from 1 species